AGUGGGAUAGUUGGGCCAAAUGGUGGUUACAUUUCCAGAUUCCCAAGGAAUCCACAUACUGCUUUCCAUAUUGGAUGUACCAUCUUGCAGUCCCACCAGCAAU
rnacentral:pre_miRNA from 1 species